rnacentral:rRNA from 1 species
GACGAACGCUGGCGGCGUGCUUAACACAUGCAAGUCGUACGGUAAGGCCCUUUCGGGGGUCCACGAGUGGCGCACGGGUGAGUAACACGUGAGUAACCUGCCCACAACUUUGGGAUAACGCUAGGAAACUGGUGCUAAUACUGGAUAUGUGCUCCUGCUGCAUGGUGGGGGUUGGAAAGCUCCGGCGGUUGUGGAUGGACUCGCGGCCUAUCAGCUUGUUGGUGGGGUAGUGGCCUACCAAGGCGGCGACGGGUAGCCGGCCUGAGAGGGUGACCGGCCACAUUGGGACUGAGAUACGGCCCAGACGCCGACGGGAGGCAGCAGUGGGGAAUAUUGCACAAGGGGCGCAAGCCUGAUGCAGCAACGCCGCGUGCGGGAUGACGGCCUUCGGGUUGUAAACCGCUUUCAGCAGGGACGAAGCUUUUUGUGACGGUACCUGCAGAAGAAGCACCGGCUAACUACGUG